GAUGAAGAACGUAGCGAAAUGCGAUAAGUAAUGUGAAUUGCAGAAUUCAGUGAAUCAUCGAAUCUUUGAACGCACCUUGCGCCCUUUGGCUAUUCCGAAGGGCAUGCCUGUUUGAGCAUCAUGAACACCUCAACUCUUCACGGCUUGCCGUGAUGAGUUUGGACUUUGGGGGUCUUGCUGGCCUACGAGCCAGCUCCUCUCAAAUGUAUUAGCUUGCCGGUGUUUGGUGGCAUCACAGGUGUGAUAACUAUCUACGCUUGUGGUUUUCCACUAGGUAACCUUCAGCAAUGGAGGUUCACCGGAGCUCACAAAUGUCUCUCCUUGCCAAGGACAGAUUUUGACCAUUUGAUCUCAAAUCAGGUAGGACUACCCGCUGAACUUAAGCAUAUCAAUAAGCGGAGGA
rnacentral:misc_RNA from 1 species